CAUCAAAUGUCAUUACAGAUUUAUUAAGCCUGAUGUAGAAAGACUUUUAACAGUAACAUCUUCAGAAAGCAUAAAAAGAGCACUUCUGUUCAGUCUUGUGCUUUGAAAAUCUAAAUAUAUUUUUAUCAUAUAAAUAAUUCUUUUCAUGUUUUAAGUGCAUCUGUUUUUUUUCCCUUUUCAAAUUUCCAUUUUACAAUUGGCCAAAACUGAAGUCUGCAUUGACUGAAAUGAAGCCAUUUGCAAAGCUAAUGAUGUUGUGAAGCAUGUCUAUGGUGAACCAUAUCAGCUAGAUUUCAGAAAGGUAGUUCAAUGAGUGCAGCAUUAAAAUGAGGGACAGCCUCCAGCAAAAUCAUAAUUGAACACACCCAAGUCCUUAAUGUCUGUAGUUCGGUUUCCUGAUGCAAAUUACGAUAACGUUUCAGAUGUGAACAGUUGCUUUCCAAUAACUGCAGUGAGAAAGAGACAUUUUCUGCCACAAAGGAAAGAAUUACCAUGUUUAAAAAUGUAAAUAAUAUAUGUAUAGAAACCUUUUUUAUGGAAAUGAGGCAUUCAGGAUUAUAUGAACGGUUUGGGAUUUUUUUUCUUUUAAACACAACAGAUAAAGAUGCAUCAUCUAUUAUUUGGGACUUUAAUUACAGUUCUAAAACUGGAGUGAUUUUAUUUGCAGUGAUAAAAAAUUAUAUCAUUGGUGAAAGAUUUCAAUGCUGCAAAAUCAUACACAGAAAUACAUCUUAAGUGUACCAGUACACAGCCAUUCUUUUGUAAAUCAAACAAGGCCUUAGAUAAACAGGUUUGACCUGAUUUAAAUUUAAUGAGAUACAUAAGACCUUGAUUGUUAAUAAUUGGUUUUGGGGACACCAAAACAAUAAAAGCAGUAAUCUCCUCUAGUAUAAAUUAUAUGAAUUUAUUUAGUAAUCAACCAAAGAAAAAAUGCCAUUAACAUUUUCAAUUUGUUAUUUAGUUUAAGUUAGUGAUAAUAGACAAAUAAUUUGAAGCAAAAUUGCCACCUUUGAGAACCUUGGAUUUGAGAAAGACAGAAAAAUAUUGGGAAGAUGCAUAUCUGUGAUGAAUCUUUUUGACCACUAGGUGGUACAAUCCUCCUAGGAGAAGGGAUUUCUUUUUAUUUUAUUCAUUUUUUUUUUCAUUGUAAGGACCAUUCAUAAUCAUCAAAACCAAGUGAAACAUGGUUUUGAUUAAAACAGCCUGUUGGCUCAAUAAUCUUAGUAAUUUUAAAAACAUCCUUAAUGUGGAAGAAGAACACUGGAAUGUCAGAAAUGGCCUUGGGGCCCAUUAUAACAGCAACAAAAUAAAUAAGGAGGAGAAAUGAGAGGUCAUGAAAACAAAAUUAAGCUAAUGUUUCAAAUUUUGACAAUUAUGAAUUGUUCCUCUAAGACGACAUUUUUUAAAGCAAAAAAUUCAGGCACUAUUAGAUACAAUACAAAGGGAAUAAUUGUACAUGUAUGGGACUAGGCAUGCCUUAAAAGCAAAAUUUGGACUUAGAUUUUUUCCCCCUCCCCUAUAGCCAGCAAUUGGGCAGGUCUCAUGCAAACACAGACUUGGGUCUCAUAGUUCCUCUGUAAACUCAACUCUAACUCCUUUAUAAACCAUAAAAAGAUGACGACCAAGGAAAACAAAAACAAAAAAAAUUACAAGCAUAUUUUUGAUUAAAAAAAUUAUCCCCCGGAAUGGACCAGUUUUGUAGGAAACAGAAACAAGCAAAUAUAACAAAAUCUGUGUUCAUAACAUGGCAAUAUAGUUAAUAUAUACAAAUAUGUACAGUAUAAAAAUGCAUCAAAGGCUUAACUUUCCAUCCAACCAAGCUGCUGUGCACAAUGAGAAGCAGCUUGAUGUGCCCCCCUCCCUCUUCCCCCUGCCCUAAGUAUACAGGCAAUAUAUUCUGUACAGCAUGCACUUGUUACAAAAUGAGUGCAUAAGCACCGAAACAUUCUACAGAUAAAGUCACUGUGAUUUCUCUUUGAAAGGAGUCCUGUUUGCUUUGUUAAUAUAAAAAAGUGUUUACUUUUCUUCUUGCGAUUUGUAGUAUAUACAUUGUUUUUUGUCUGACCGAAGAGAAGUGAGCUUUUGAUAACGCAUUUUAACCUUUAAAACAAAAUUCUAGAACUAACCCUUAUGGUCAAGAAUGUAACCUGAAGAUGCUGCCAAUAGCAAACUUAUUAAAUAUCACAAGCGUUUGUUCAGAGCCAGAAAUAGCUGACUGUCAAAUUUACUGGGGUGGCCAACUGUGCUCCAUUAUUUUAAAUAGGGAUGGAUAUUUAUGAUUCAUGCUGACAUAUUCAAGACAUUAGGAAAAAAACAAAGGGUAGGAUUAAUAAGUGAUGGCUAUGCACUAGACAAAAAGGUAUAUUGUACCAGAGAUAUAUGACAGUUAGGUACCCUGAGCCAAAUAAAAACUGUUUAGCUUGUCAGCUUUUGCAACCUGUAUUGCACAUUCCAGCAUUUGCUGCAUUAUAAAGCCAAAAUACUGCAUUGUAUGCCCUGAAGAUUCCUGCUGUUUUUGCUCAGUGCAAAUAGUGCACAGCUGUUACUUCAGCCACAGAAUGCUUGCAUGCUUUUUAUAUAUAUGCAUAUUGUACUUAUAUGCAUAUAUAUCUAGAUAUCUGUUGACAUCUACAUAGCUAUCUUUAUCUAUCUGCUUAUAUCUACAUAGAUACAGAGAGAUAUGUAAUUCCUGAAUGUUACAUGGACCAUUUAGUACGUGAAAACCUUACCAUACAAAUCUUUCACAUUUGAGACAUAAUUGCAUGGCUGUUUAAGUUCUGUAAAUACAACUCCUCACUUGGGGCUGAUACCCAACUGUGGAUUUGUAUUUCAAGAUAAAUCAGUCAACCACCUUGCAAUGAAUUUGUAUUUUUGCACAAUUUUUUGUUUGUUUUUAAAAGUAAAACAUUGGUCAUUUUCCCACCACCUCAUCUGAAAUGUUUAAGAAAAGAUAUUAUCUGUACUAACAAAAAAAAAAAAAGGGGGAAGGGGAUGGGGUAAGAGGCCUGCACAGGUAGAUAAUCUAACUCAAGUAGAAGCAAGUGCGACCUGCUAGGAUUAGUAUUUAAUCUGCUUUAUCCAACAGGGCAUUUUACAAAGGCUUGAAGACAUUUCACCAGCCGAGAAUGAAGAUGAGCUGGAAGUUGGAGUUUAUUAUUCUUGAAGGACGCAGAGUUUUGCAUUGACCAUGCACAACUGCAAUGGAGAAGAUGGUAGGAGAGAAGCUGGAGAUUGCCGCAGACAGUGGGGAGGGCACCCAAGCUUUCAGCACCCAAGAAUGCACGACAGGCAGUCAGAUGGUGGGUAUAUUCCAAUUCCCACUGAAAUCAGUGCAGAGACUCUCAAUGAUUUCAUUGAGAUCAGAGCCAUAUUGCACUUCCUAUAGUGCCUCUGAACUACAUUACAUACAUGAUGGAAGUGGCAAUCAACUACUCCAUAACACCCCGAGGAGAGUAUGAGGAGAGGUGAGAUUUUGGUGAAGGGUAUCAGGGCAACUCACCACUGAUCUUUAAUCUCCAUGCAGAGCAGACAGGGCCUUGGAUAUUAAAUCUUUGUGACAUCACACACACCCGGGGCCUUGGAUAUUAAAUCUUUGUGACCACACACGCACAGAAUGGGAGAUGCACUUGGCAUCGUUUAUUUUAAAAAUUGUUUGCUGAUCAUGAUAUAACUAUCAGAAUGAGUGACUAGACAAAGGAGGAGAAAUUUGUUCUACAGCCCAGAAGAUAUUGGAAUGCUUCAGUCUGUAUGCAAAGGACACUGUGGGCAACAAACAUGUGGGGGAUUAAGGAAGUUGAGUUCUUGUUGAUUGGGAUUAAGGAAGCUACAUUUGGAAGAUACUUGAAGGACAUUAAAGUUGCAUCCAUUUGAGAAGAAUCUUACUAGAAAACACAGCUUUAAGAGGCUGAAGGAUGGACAAAAGUCUGGAGGAUUUCAAUACCAAGAUCAUCACAAUUAUAGAUCAUGAUCAGAUCCAGUUUGGAAAUCACCAUCUCUCUGUUAAAGUCAAUGGAGUUAUGCUAAUUUACACCGGCUAAAGCAGCAUUUCUCAAACUGGUAUUUAGGCGCCUACAUCCCAUUAAUUUCCCUUUGUCUUUAAUUUCCCCAUCUGUAAAAUGGGAAUAGUAGUACUUCCCUAUGUCACAGGGUUGUGGUGAGGAUAAAUACAUAAAAGAUUGUGAGGCACUCAGAUAUGACGGUGAUGGAGGCCACAGAGAGAUAGAAAAGUGAAAUUUGAGGUAAAUGUAGAUUUCUUUGCUGAUCUUCCCCUCUGACCAGGAUGUGUGAGGACAGUGCAUGGUGAUAAGUUUUAACAAAGGGUAUGGCUACACUGUGUGGAAAAACCCAUGGCACCAAGUCUCAGAGCCUGGGUGCAUUGACUUGGCUCACGGGGCUCGGGUUGUGGGUUUAAAAAUACCAGUGUAGAUGUUCAGCCUUGAGCUGGAGGUGGGGAUCCGAAAUCUUCCCUCCUCACCAGGUUCCAGAGCCAGGACUCCAGCCCAAGCAGGAACGUUUCCACUGCUAUUUUUUGUCCCACAGCCUGAGCUCCACAAACUGCAGUCAACUGAUCCAGAAUCUGAGACUCAGUGCAUCGUAAACAUACCCUCAAAUUAUUAGAACAAUAUUCUCCCUCUUUCCUGUCACCCACACCUUGUUGCGAAAGGUUCUUCAUAGUUUCAAGUUUGCUCACAAUAGCUUAGAAUGGAACACCACACAGAUAUUUCUCUGAAAAAGCAGACAGUGUCAGAGCUGUGAAAAAAACUCUGGGAGUUUGCAUCACAAAAAUUUAGCAUAAAUAUUUUUAAAAAGUUUUGUGAAAUUUUGUAAGUUUGCACAUAAGAUCAAAUUCUAGCUAAUUUUCUUCUGAUGAUUUUCACGUUUUCUGCAAUGACAGCAACUGCUGCUAUCACAGUAAAAUAUGAAAAUAGACCGAGCCAAUUAUAACACCCCUGAAAAUCAGCAGAAAUUUUGUAUUGAAAGUAUUUGUUUAAGUUAAGAGAAAAUGAGUUUGCCAUGAAGUUUGUGAAUUCCAGUCAGUUUAAAUUGUUUGUUUCAGUAUCUUUCUCACAUGCAUCUGACGAAGUGGGUAUUCACCCACGAAAGCUUAUGCUCCAAUAUGUCUGUUAGUCUAUAAGGUGCCACAGGACUCUUUGUCGCUUUUCUCAAAAUGUUUCAUUGUAAGAGAAUGAGAAGGUCUUUUCAAAACAAAAAACUCUUUCUUAUGGGAAAUACUUGCAAAACUACAUUGUUGAGAAAUUGCUAUUUUACGGUUUUGGUUUUUGGCCUUUUGCAAAUCCAGCCAAAAGCUGAAAUUUGCAAGUUUCACUUUUGAAAUGAAACUUUUCACUCAGUUCUAUGCAUAGUCCCCUCACACUGACUCCUAUAGUUGGUAUUCCCAGCCCAUUCAAACUACUCAGUCAGGAAGUCAGCAGUGAUUAUUGACACAACGUAUGUGCCAAUUUAUCACCCCUCUUGAUCCUUGAUUCUUUAUGUGUGUGCUCAACUUCACACAGGCAAAUGGUCCUGCUGAACUCAGAUGUUUGCAGGAUCAGAGCCUUAGGGUGGGAGUCACCAAGGUAUCUAAUUACCUAAAUACCUUUGUGAAUCCCACCCUGAAGAGUUUAAACAGGCAUCUGGAAGACUUCUUAAAUCACUCACCUUGCCUCUUCAGAUUACAUUCUGCAGGAUGAACUAGUCAGCAGUGCAGGGGGAUGACUACAUUCAUUAAUGCAGAAAACACUACUUUUCUCUGUCUUUUGGAGAAAGCCUGUAUAUAGAAACCUCCCCACCUUAAAAAAAUAGUCAGUGUGCUGGCUGGCUCUUGAGCAAAUACAAGUUAAAUCACCGACACUGUGUGCCAGAGCUGCACAUACUUUUCCACUGCUGAUUUAUCUGCAAAAUAUACCACAUGCCAGUUGCUUGAAUUAGGAUCAUGGGGAGAAGGGAAUCAUUAGAGAAUACUAGAAAGCCCAAAGCAUAAAGAAAACUUCUCCUUUUGACUCCUCCUCACAUGCCUGCUUUAUUUCCUUUUCAUGCGCUGACAGUGCUGAUGAGACAAUAGAUGGUACAACCCCAAGCAAUUGCUUUUUGAGUAAUAUCUUUAGGGACUGAAAACCUGACCAUAAUUUUUGGCUUCCAGGAAGGCCUAGUGACCCAGCAUAAUAAUGUAUUUGGUGAUACUGGUGGGCAUCAAGGCUAGUCAGGGUUGGCCAUUUCAUUCCCUGUAUGUUUCCUUUGCUAACAAAGUGCCUUGAAAAGCCAGGUAAAUUAGACUUGGAGAAAGGGACACUGCAUCUUUGAGUAAUGAGGCUGGGAAACAGGGAACACAUUUUCCACUAGCUCAUGUCUCACUGUAUGGCAUUCCGAUUUCGUGACACUUCAUAAUAAAUCAUUGCUUAUCACUCACAUGGGAACAUAACAUGGCUCAAGUUAAGAUUCGUUAGUGAUUGUAAAGAAGAAACAUGAAUUGCUCUGUAUCACGGCUUUUUUGAUCAUCUUUCUGUCCACAGCAGGCAUUUUUUUAUAUCGUUAUAUUUACUGUAACUGUUGUUUAAAGCAUAAAUAAAAAGGAAGGAAAGAG